CCUGGUUGAUCCUGCCAGUAGUCAUAUGCUUGUCUCAAAGAUUAAGCCAUGCAUGUGUAAGCACACACUGUGUUAAAAGUGAAGCCGCGAAUGGCUCAUUACAACAGCCACAGUUUAUUAGAACUUACUCUCAUGGAUAACUGUGGUAAUUCUAGAGCUAAUAAUGUUGAACGUCGAAACUGUUUGGUGAAUCUGAAUAACUAUUUCUGAUCGCAUGGUCUAGCACCGGCGACAUCACUUUCAAGUGUCUGCCUUAUCAACCUUCGAUGGUAGUCUAUGCGACUACCAUGGUGAUAACGGGUAACGGAGAAUCAGGGUUCGACUCCGGAGAGGGAGCCUGAGAAACGGCUACCACAUCCAAGGAAGGCAGCAGGCGCGCAAAUUACCCACUCCCAGCUUGGGGAGGUAGUGACGAAAAAUAACGAGACGAUUCUCGUUUGAGAAACGUUAUCGAAAUGAGUACGCUUUACACACGCUAACGAGUAGCAAUUGGAGGGCAAGUCUGGUGCCAGCAGCCGCGGUAAUUCCAGCUCCAAUAGCGUAUAUUAAAGUUGCUGCGGUUAAAACGCUCGUAGUUGAAUUGUGGUCUUAGACAACAGUCCCCCUACAUAGGUGUGGCACGGUUGCUCGAGAUCUUCAUUCGUGGUUGCUGUUGUUGCUCUUGAUUGAGUGUCAAUGGUGCCUCGAGAUUUUACUUUGAAAAAAUUAGAGUGCUCAAAGCAGGUUGUGAUGCCUGAAUAAUGGUGCAUGGAAUAAUAGAAUACGAUCUCGGUUCUAUUUUGUUGGUUUUCGAACUGGAGAUAAUGAUUGAAUGGAACAGACGGGGGCAUUCGUAUUGCUGCGUUAGAGGUGAAAUUCUUGGAUCGCAGCAAGAUGAACAAUUGCGAAAGCAUUUGCCAAGAAUGUUUUCAUUAAUCAAGAACGAAAGUUAGAGGUUCGAAGGCGAUCAGAUACCGCCCUAGUUCUAACGGUAAACUAUGCCAACCAGCGAUUCGCCGAAGUUCAUUUAAGACUCGGCGAGCAGCUUCCGGGAAACCAAAGUGUUUCGGUUCCGGGGGAAGUAUGGUUGCAAAGCUGAAACUUAAAGGAAUUGACGGAAGGGCACCACCAGGAGUGGAGCCUGCGGCUUAAUUUGACUCAACACGGGAAAACUCACCCGGCCCGGACACUGGAAGGAUUGACAGAUUGACAGCUCUUUCUUGAUUCAGUGGGUAGUGGUGCAUGGCCGUUCUUAGUUGGUGGAGCGAUUUGUCUGGUUAAUUCCGAUAACGAACGAGACUCUACCCUAUUAAAUAGUGAUAGUAUUGUAAUUUUUGUGCUGAUCACUUCUUAGAGGGACUGGCAAAUUGAAAGCUGCACGAAAAAGAGCAAUAACAGGUCUGUGAUGCCCUUCGAUGUCCGGGGCUGCACGCGCGCUACAAUGAAAGCGUCAACGUGAGUUACGUCCUAACCUGAAAAGGUUUGGCAAUCGAUUCUUGAAUGGAAUAGGGAAUUGCAAUUGUUUCCCUUGAACGAGGAAUUCCCAGUAAGCGUGAGUCAUUAGCUCGCGUUGAUUACGUCCCUGCCCUUUGUACACACCGCCC
rnacentral:rRNA from 1 species